UAUGGAAAAGCUGAUAAAAUGAGAAACUUAGACAUUUUCUGCUCUGGAAAGCUGUGGAAAAUAACUUAGAAUUUUUUCUUAAACUGUCGGCUCAUAGUACAAUUACGUCGGGAUCGAUGUCGGGCUCGAUGAACAAUUAAUUUAAACUACAGCCCGCCAAAAUUCAACAAUUCGGCUGCCAUGUUGUAUUGUUGGACAGAAGGAAAGAGAGUGUCACGAAGAAGGGAACUGCUGUCAUUAUUAGCUUGGAAUGGAAUUUGUAUUUUGACAAAAGAUGCAGACAUUUUAAGACCCGCUGAAGUACUCGAUUUGCACAGCGCCGGCAUAUAAUCAUCAAGUUUGAUGAAAUGUCCUAAUAUGUAGAUGUAGAUGCUAAGUCAUUCAGUCACCUAGCUUGUGAGAAUGGAAUGCUCACAAAAAGGACAAGAGCGAGAGAGCUGUAUGGAAAUUUACACAAAGGGUCAGUUAACGGAGUAAGCUGAUAUGGAGGAUAAUAUAUCAAAGGCAGCAUAGGCGUCCAAACUCCUGUUCAAGGUGCUUUUAAUCAGAAGCUUAAGAGACAAAAGACGAGCCAUUGACAAGGCAAAACUGAAUGUUUUAUAUGAAAUUGAGCAAGAAAAGUUUGAAGUGUCUUUGGGAAUGAUCAACAUCAAACUUGCUGAGCUUUUGAAGCCGUCGUACCAAAAGUGAAUCCAUUCGUGACACCAAUUAUCUGACCACCCUCUAACAGAACCAGUGAGGAAGUGAUUCUAGCCAAUACUUCAGAAGUUUAGGACCCUCAAUAAUUAGGAUCUUGGGGCAUGUUGGGGAAAAAAAUAGCAUGUGUUGAUUUUAUGGGAUCUUUCAAAUAUAGUUGUGUAGUAGAUAUUUGUGUACUUAAUACAUAUGUUUGUCAUUCUAGUCAUUAACUUUGUAUGGUAAAUGUAUAUGGACCACUGGAAGAUCAUUGUAACUGUAUACAAAUGUUGCAAAUAUACCCUGUUAAGGCUUUAGUGACCUUUCCCAAGGUCAUUCAAUGAAGCAAAAGGUCAUAAUUAAUGUUUUUUUUUUAAAUCUAUUUUGUUUUAUUAUUAAAAAAUGUCAUAUGUUUGAGAUUACUCUAGGUACAAAGGAUUUUCUUUAACCAAAGGUCAUUUGUUUCUCAUGCAGACCGUAAUUUACUACAUGUACAUGCAUGUAUAUUAUAAUAAUUCUCAUUAAUUAAACCAAGGUGAUCAUCCAGUAAUGAUAUUUUUCUGUGGAUUUUUAACAUUGUUUAAAUAAUCUUUGAUGUAAAAUACUUUCAUUGAUAAUACUUUUUAAAAUUUGUGCUUUCAUUAUACAUAGAAGUGUGUAUGCAAUAUUUGUCCCCAAACACAUUGUAAAGCAAAAAUGAUUUUUUAUUUUGAAAAUAUAGAUUUGAUUUAUGAAAAAUUGUGAUGUAGUCAUUUUUUUUUUGUAAUUAUUUGGCC